ACAAUACAUGCGGCGGGUUAUCGAGAAGAAGGCAAAGUUUGAUAUUAUGAAACUGAACUGUGUUCUGGUUGCACCGAAGACAUUCAUUCCCGUUUUAUUUGGACAUGCAAGUGAUGACAAAUUCAUUCAGCCACACCACUCCGAUCUCAUCUCUGAGUCAUAUGCGGUAUUAGUUUUACAAAAUGUUUGAGCUUGAUACUUUCUAAAAGCAGUUUGCAUUUUUCUCUUUGAUAGCAACUCUUCUCGACCACAAUUCUUUUAUGAUUCAGUUUCCAUUUUCUUCUACAAUGUCCUCUGUCCUCCUCAAGUUUCUAUUGCAGAAAAGCUCGAGAAAUAUUAUGAUUUGGGGGAUUUAAAACUCGGUUCCGGUGUGGAUGAGAGCGUAUUAUAUGAGAUUCUCUCUAGUCUGCGGUCUGCAACUACUGAUGCUGCAAGUUCAUCUUCUGCAUUUCCAACAAUAUCUGCGACAAAACCAGUUACCGAACUUCUUUCAGAAGCAGCUCCACUGGAUGAUGCAGUAGGGUGCCUUAACCUUUUGUCUCCAUUAUUUUCUUCAAAACACCUUGUUCUGUUUAGUUUAUCCAUUGCUUGUAACACAGGAGCCUUUGUUUGAAGAAGAUACUACGAACAAAAUCGAUGGAAUUGUCCAUGAUGAAGCCGCUAAUGUGCAGGUCAUCUUUAUAUAACCGUCUCUGAAAUUAAUAAAUGGUUGUAUAAUUUGCAUUCUUGAAAAUAUGAAGGAGCAUGAGAAGAAUCCAAUUAUUAGUGAAGUUAUUCCAGAAUAUGAUAUUGCUAUUGUUGGAGGAGGCAUGGUUGGCAUGUCUUUAGCUUGUUUCUUAGCUAGCAUGCCAAUGACAAAGCAGUUGAGUGUGGCAAUUAUUGACAGCAAUCCAGCUCUGGCUAGUGGCUUAAUCAUCCAAAGAGAAGACCCUCCUGAUCCUAGAGUCAGUACAGUGACUCCUGCUUCUAUAUCAUUUCUCCAAGUUAAAGAAGGGAAUUCCAUUGCCGAUUCUUAAGGGUUUCGCCCUUAAGAACGCUCGAAUCAUGAACACUCUGCCGUGGAUUGUGUUGUCUAGAGUGGAGAAAGAAUACCUCAAAUCUUAUUUUUUUUCUAUGAGUAUAUGAAGGGAUCUAUUAUACAAGCCCAUUGUACUAUCUUGUGGUCACAUAUGUUGUUUCUGGUGUGUGUAUAAGUCGAUGAAUUGUCGGCGUGAGUCUCAGUGUCCAACAUGUAGGCAUCAAUACUAUCACUUCCCAACAGUGUGUCAAUCACUUCAUUUUUUGCUUCUUAAGAUGUAUCCUGUUGCUUACAAUAGAAGGAUCAAUCAAACUCUUGAAAACAAUUGCUUCUCCAGGGCAUGGUAUUUUGGCCAUGGAUGAAUCCAAUGCUACAUGUGGAAAGCGGUUGGAUUCAAUUGAACUAGAGAACACCGAAACUAACCGUCACGCAUGGCGUAAAAUUAUAUAUGAAGAAAGUGUUAUGACUUAGUUAAAAUAUAAUUUACAUGUGUAUUAUUUUAUAAUACUUGAAAUAUUA